rnacentral:rRNA from 1 species
UACGUAGGGGGCCAGCGUUGUCCGGAAUCAUUGGGCGUAAAGCGCGCGUAGGCGGCCAGAUAAGUCCGGUGUGAAAGUCAAAGGCUCAACCUUUGAAUGCCGCUGGAAACUGCCUGGCUUGAGUCCGGAAGAGGCAAGUGGAAUUCCCGGUGUAGCGGUGAAAUGCGCAGAUAUCGGGAGGAACACCAAUGGCGAAGGCAGCUUGCUGGGACGGUACUGACGCUGAGACGCGAAAGCGUGGGGAGCAAACAGG